UUUGUUUCUUCCUCACUGUUCUCCAGUACAGCGUAUCAACUGUGGACCCUGGAUGCCCUCAAUAUACCAAUGCAUGGCGCAGUUUCAAUCUUCAUCAGCUUUUGAAAUCCGCAGUGUCUUCUUUGAAAGCAGAGGACAACAAUGAAACAAACAAACAACAAAAAUCCCACAAAGAUAUUUGGAUAAAUAUACCCAUUUUCACCUAAGGGGGAUAGACCCAUCACUUAAUGGUCAGGUAAAGGCUUUGGCACUGUUGUUACCUUUUCAUACUUCAGACUUCAGCCUCAGGAGACCAAAUCACACAUGAGAAAGCUAUGGGUGAGCCUGUAAAAUCAGAGAAAGAAAGCAUCAUCAAAAUGAGCCUGAGAAGGUGUCUGGGAUGCUACUCUGAGCAGAAUCUUACCUGGCUAUCCUAGAAAUCUCGUGUCCACGUUUCUUCUCAAGCUCUCUCUCUUUUUGGUCCCAUGUGGAGGAAUUGGUAUACAUACAGAUGACCCAGACACUACAUAAUUCUGUACCACAAUAGCUUUAGCAAUUGAUGAAGAGAUUCCAUUUGGUUCAGUAUGUUAUUAACAUUUAGGUCGCCUUCACUGAUUUCUGAUUCUUUGCAAGUUGAGAAUCCUGGUGUGGGCUUGUGGGGGAGGGCUCAUUCCAUUAACCAGCCCAAUUCUUCCUCCAUGCAUUCAGAUAAGCAGACCUAUAGACAGUUUCUAUUUCCCAAAUUCAUAAACUGUCUGGCCCCCCCUGUGAAUUCCAGUCCUUUUUUAAACUUUCCAUUGUACUAUAUAUAUGCAACAUAAUCUUGGAAUGGGCUAAUUAUUUACAUAAUCUCCUUUCUCUCUGAGCAAACAUUUUUUUGUUGUUG
rnacentral:lncRNA from 1 species